rnacentral:rRNA from 1 species
GAUGAACGCUAGCUACAGGCUUAACACAUGCAAGUCGAGGGGAAACGAUAUUGGAAGCUUGCUUCCGAUAGGCGUCGACCGGCGCACGGGUGAGUAACGCGUAUCCAACCUGCCCACCACUUGGGGAUAACCUUGCGAAAGUAAGACUAAUACCCAAUGACGUCCAUAGAGGACAUGUGAAAUGGAUUAAAGAUUUAUCGGUGAUGGAUGGGGAUGCGUCUGAUUAGCUUGUUGGCGGGGUAACGGCCCACCAAGGCGACGAUCAGUAGGGGUUCUGAGAGGAAGGUCCCCCACAUUGGAACUGAGACACGGUCCAAACUCCUACGGGAGGCAGCAGUGAGGAAUAUUGGUCAAUGGGCGAGAGCCUGAACCAGCCAAGUAGCGUGCAGGAUGACGGCCCUAUGGGUUGUAAACUGCUUUUAUAAGGGAAUAAAGUGAGCCUCGUGAGGCUUUUUGCAUGUACCUUAUGAAUAAGGACCGGCUAAUUCCGUGCCAGCAGCCGCAGUAA